GAUGAACGCUGGCGGCGUGCUUAGCACAUGCAAGUCGAACGAUGAAGCCCAGCUUGCUGGGUGGAUUAGUGGCGAACGGGUGAGUAACACGUGAGUAACCUGCCCUUGACUCUGGGAUAAGCCUGGGAAACUGGGUCUAAUACUGGAUAUGACUUCUCAUCGCAUGGUGGGGGGUGGAAAGAUUUAUUGGUCUUGGAUGGACUCGCGGCCUAUCAGCUUGUUGGUGAGGUAAUGGCUCACCAAGGCGACGACGGGUAGCCGGCCUGAGAGGGUGACCGGCCACACUGGGACUGAGACACGGCCCAGACUCCUACGGGAGGCAGCAGUGGGGAAUAUUGCACAAUGGGCGCAAGCCUGAUGCAGCGACGCCGCGUGAGGGAUGACGGCCUUCGGGUUGUAAACCUCUUUCAGUAGGGAAGAAGCGAGAGUGACUGUACCUGCAGAAGAAGCGCCGGCUAACUACGU
rnacentral:rRNA from 1 species